rnacentral:rRNA from 1 species
UACAGAGGUCUCGAGCGUUGUUCGGAUUCAUUGGGCGUAAAGGGUGCGUAGGCGGCGCCGUAAGUCGGGUGUGAAAUUUCGGAGCUUAACUCCGAAACUGCAUUCGAUACUGCGGUGCUUGAGGACUGGAGAGGAGACUGGAAUUCCCGGUGUAGCGGUGAAAUGCGUAGAGAUCGGGAGGAACACCAGAGGCGAAAGCGGCAACCUGGACAAGCACUGACACUCAACUACGAAAGCGUGGGGAGCAAACAGG